rnacentral:rRNA from 1 species
GUGGGGAAUUUUGGACAAUGGGCGCAAGCCUGAUCCAGCAAUGCCGCGUGCAGGAAGAAGGCCUUCGGGUUGUAAACUGCUUUUGUACGGAACGAAACGGUCCGGGUUAAUACCCUGGGCUAAUGACGGUACCGUAAGAAUAAGCACCGGCUAACUACGUGCCAGCAGCCGCGGUAAUACGUAGGGUGCAAGCGUUAAUCGGAAUUACUGGGCGUAAAGCGUGCGAAGGCGGUUUUGUAAGACAGGCGUGAAAUCCCCGGGCGCAACCUGGGAAUUGCGCUUGUGACUGCAAGGCUGGAGUGCGGCAGAGGGGGAUGGAAUUCCGCGUGUAGCAGUGAAAUGCGUAGAUAUGCGGAGGAACACCGAUGGCGAAGGCAAUCCCCUGGGCCUGCACUGACGCUCAUGCACGAAAGCGUGGGGAGCAAACAGGAUUAGAUACCCUAGUAGUCC